UUAUACUGUGAACUGCGAAUGGCUCAUUAAAUCAGUUAUCGUUUAUUUGAUAGUACCCCACUACAUGGAUACCUGUGGUAAUUCUAGAGCUAAUACAUGCUAAAAACCCCGACUUCAGGAAGGGGUGUAUUUAUUAGAUAAAAAACCAACGCCCUUCGGGGCUCCUUGGUGAAUCAUAAUAACUUAACGAAUCGCAUGGCCUUGCGCCGGCGAUGGUUCAUUCAAAUUUCUGCCCUAUCAACUUUCGAUGGUAGGAUAGUGGCCUACCAUGGUGGCAACGGGUAACGGGGAAUUAGGGUUCGAUUCCGGAGAGGGAGCCUGAGAAACGGCUACCACAUCCAAGGAAGGCAGCAGGCGCGCAAAUUACCCAAUCCCGAUACGGGGAGGUAGUGACAAUAAAUACUGAUACGGGGCUCUUUUGGGUCUCGUAAUUGGAAUGAGAACAAUUUAAAUCCCUUAACGAGGAACAAUUGGAGGGCAAGUCUGGUGCCAGCAGCCGCGGUAAUUCCAGCUCCAAUAGCGUAUAUUAAAGUUGUUGCAGUUAAAAAGCUCGUAGUUGAACCUUGGGUCUGGCUGGCCGGUCCGCCUCACCGCGAGUACUGGUCCGGCUGGACCUUUCCUUCUGGGGAACCCCAUGGCCUUCACUGGCUGUGGGGGGAACCAGGACUUUUACUGUGAAAAAAUUAGAGUGUUCAAAGCAGGCCUUUGCUCGAAUACAUUAGCAUGGAAUAAUAGAAUAGGACGUGCGGUUCUAUUUUGUUGGUUUCUAGGACCGCCGUAAUGAUUAAUAGGGAUAGUCGGGGGGCGUCAGUAUUCAGCUGUCAGAGGUGAAAUUCUUGGAUUUGCUGAAGACUAACUACUGCGAAAGCAUUCGCC
rnacentral:rRNA from 1 species